AAACGUACUCAGUUCGGAUUGCAGGCUGCAACCCGCCCUGCAUGAAGCCGGAAUCGCUAGUAAUCGCAGAUCAGCAUGCUGCGGUGAAUACGUUCCCGGGUCUUGUACACACCGCCCGUCACACCAUGGGAGUCGAUAACGCCCGAAGUCAGUGACCCAACCGAAAGGAGGGAGCUGCCGAAGGCGGGAUUGAUAACUGGGGUGAAGUCGUAACAAGGUAUC
rnacentral:rRNA from 1 species